rnacentral:lncRNA from 1 species
GAUGCUACCAAAAAUCGUACCUGUAGAUUUCCCGAGCUUGAUGACUGGUGAGGAGCACGAACGUGAUCUUCCGAUACCUGAAACAAAGGCAACGAGGUGUGUUCUCGUCGCCCCUCCGAUGCUUAAGUCAGAAAGAGAAAUAUAUGCGUGAGGCUAUGUGCUGAAGAACAAUGUCAAACGUACCUGAAUAAUGGCCCAAGGUUCUGCUUUUAUAGGAGUAGGUAGUGUACUCCUAGUAGGAUUGUGUUGGUUGGAUGUUUUUAUCCAAGGGAAUUUAUAUUAUAAAGAAUGUCCUACUUGUAAUGGAAUUGUUUGACAAGUGGUGUUAGGGUUGAUGUAGAAUCCUUGGGUGUUUAGGUUUGUUAGUUAGGUACCCAGGUCUUAGGAGGUAUGUUGGUGGUGUAUGUCUCGAGGACUAUUCUCGAGGACAUUGAGGGAAUGUAAAUGUGUCCUCGAGGUAUCUCGAGGACUACAAUAUCUCGAGGACUUAGAUGACCUCGAGGAC